rnacentral:rRNA from 1 species
UACGUAGGGUGCAAGCGUUAAUCGGAAUUACUGGGCGUAAAGCGUGCGCAGGCGGUUUUGUAAGUCUGAUGUGAAAUCCCCGGGCUCAACCUGGGAACUGCAUUUGUGACUGCAUGGCUAGAGUACGGUAGAGGGGGAUGGAAUUCCGCGUGUAGCAGUGAAAUGCGUAGAUAUGCGGAGGAACACCGAUGGCGAAGGCAAUCCCCUGGACCUGUACUGACGCUCAUGCACGAAAGCGUGGGGAGCAAACAGG